GUUCCAUCCCUACACCUCAUGGAUCCCUAUAAUGUGCGUGUUAUACAUGAGUAAUAAUAUGGAUAAUAUUAUGAUGACAUAAAUCAUUUGCAUAGAUUCACAGGACACUUCUUUCUGUCUUUAAUUUCUCUUCUUUUUUUUUACCAGGGUUAUAUAAGUUUGCGGAACUUCACCCAGCAGUUCCGAAAUUUCUCCAUAUAAAUUGUCUAACCCUUAAAAAGGCUCAAACAUCAGGAUCAUUUAUUCUUCUAAUUUUUUUAACGUUAUACUUUUGACAAUUUAUAUGUAGAUGGCUUGGAAAGGUUACUCUUGAAACCUACAUUUCUCAGUUCCACAUCUGGUUGAGGUACUUCCUACUAUAUAAAGUUUCUUCGGAGUAUACCACAUGAUCCAGUGAUGACAGAUUCGAGUUCGACUACAAAAUUUUAGUAGUGUUUUUUUUUAUUUUUUAUUUUGUGGUGUACUACUUUUAUAUAUUAGCUUAACUUUUUAGUUAAUAUUUUAGAAAUGUUUUGUAUUGCACUUAAUUACUAAUUACUAAUGUAAUGAUAUUAAUAUUUAGUGAAUAUUUGUUUUUGUAA